GCACAAGCGGUGGAGCAUGUGGUUUAAUUCGACGCAACGCGAAGAACCUUACCUGGGCUCGAAAUGUACAGGAAUCCGGUGGAAACAUCGGCGUCCCGCAAGGGACCUGUAUAUAGGUGCUGCAUGGCUGUCGUCAGCUCGUGUCGUGAGAUGUUGGGUUAAGUCCCGCAACGAGCGCAACCCUUAUCUUCAGUUGCUACCAUUUAGUUGAGCACUCUGACGAAACCGCCUCGGAUAACGGGGAGGAAGGUGGGGAUGACGUCAAGUCCUCAUGGCCUUUAUGUCCAGGGCUACACACGUGCUACAAUGGCCGGUACAAACCGUCGCAAACCCGUGAGGGGGAGCUAAUCGGAAAAAGCCGGCCUCAGUUCGGAUUGGAGUCUGCAACUCGACUCCAUGAAGCUGGAAUCGCUAGUAAUCGCGGAUCAGAACGCCGCGGUGAAUACGUUCCCGGGC
rnacentral:rRNA from 1 species